GAUGAACGCUGGCGGCGUGCCUAACACAUGCAAAUCGAACGGAGAUUACGGACGGAAGUUUUCGGAUGGAAGCCUGUAAUUCUUAGUGGCGGACGGGUGAGUAACGCGUGGGCAACCUGCCCUAUACAGGGGGAUAGCAGCUGGAAACGGCUGGUAAGACCGCAUAAGUCGGUUAAAUCGCAUGAUUUGACCGGGAAAUGAGCAAUCAGGUAUAGGAUGGGCCCGCGUCCGAUUAGCCAGUUGGCAGGGUAAAAGCCUACCAAAGCGACGAUCGGUAGCCGGACUGAGAGGUCGGACGGCCACAUUGGGACUGAGACACGGCCCAAACUCCUACGGGAGGCAGCAGUGGGGGAUAUUGCACAAUGGAGGAAACUCUGAUGCAGCGGCGCCGCGUGAGUGAAGAAGUAUUUCGGUAUGUAAAGCUCUAUCAGCAGGGAAGAUGAUGACGGUACCUGACUAAGAAGCCCCGGCUAACUACGUG
rnacentral:rRNA from 1 species